AAAGUCGUAACAAGGUUUCCGUAGGUGAACCUGCGGAAGGAUCAUUAUCACGUAUCCACGUAUAAACCAUCGCGAACUCUUGCCUUUGGGAGAGGAUGACAGUGGGAAUACAAGCACAUGAACUCUUUACUGUGAUUUAAAGUUCGCUUGCGUUCUCCGAGACUUGUCUCGUUGUUCUUUCCUGAAGUGUAUUUUUUUAAAUCACUAAACCAUUAACAAUUUGAACCAACUUUAAAUUAUGAACUGAUCUAUUUCUUACUCUUCGGAGAAGAAAUUCAUUACGAAACAAAGAACAACUCUUAGCAACGGAUAUCUUGGUUCUC
rnacentral:misc_RNA from 1 species